rnacentral:rRNA from 1 species
UAGUCCACGCCGUAAACGAUGUCUACUUGGAGGUUGUGGCCUUGAGCCGUGGCUUUCGGAGCUAACGCGUUAAGUAGACCGCCUGGGGAGUACGGUCGCAAGAUUAAAACUCAAAUGAAUUGACGGGGCCCGCACAAGCGGUGGAGCAUGUGGUUUAAUUCGAUGCAACGCGAAGAACCUUGCCAUCCCUUGACAUCCAGAGAAUCUGUUAGAGAUAGUAGAGUGCCUUCGGGAACUCUGAGACAGGUGCUGCAUGGCUGUCGUCAGCUCGUGUCGUGAGAUGUUGGGUUAAGUCCCGCAACGAGCGCAACCCUUAUCCUUAGUUGCCAGCACGUAAAGGUGGGAACUCUAAGGAGACUGCCGGUGAUAAACCGGGAGGAAGGUGGGGACGACGUCAAGUCAUCAUGGGCCCUUA